rnacentral:lncRNA from 1 species
GCCACGGGGCAAAUGGACAUGGAAAGUGUAACGACCCGACUGGUCAUUUUUCUUUCUAGAUCCUUGUUUAUCCUAUUUAAGAUUUUCUAUAUGUGCUUUUCCUAUUUUAUAACUUGUGGAGAUGGUUGGUUUGGUUUUGGAAGGGUUCUGGUUAAAUCCAGAACACUUAGUUCCAUAAUAGUGGUCUAAGGUAGCCAAAUUUUACGUGAAUCAACACUUUGAGUAAACAAUUUCGAAAUCGAGAUUUGAAGGUUCUAAUAGGUUCAUAUGAUGAUUUAUACUUGGGCGUAUAUUCAGAUCGAGUUUCAGGUGGACCGGGGGAGUUUCAACACUUAUUUUUGGAAGUUGCUUGAAGGUUUUAGAGUUUUUAAGUAUGAUUUGAAGUACACUUUGGGGUAGUCAAUAUCUGUUUAGAAUUUUGAGCUUUGGAAUAGGUUUAUAUUGUGAUUUGUGCGUAAAAUUUGGAGUCAUUCCGAGUUAUCUAAGUAUGAUUCAUUGCGUUUGGAGUUGGUUAGAAGAAGUUUGAAGUUUAAAAGUUGAUUAAUUUGGUUUUGAGGUGCGAUUCUUGGUUGCGAUGUUAUUUUAUGUAUUCCGAAACUUUGAGUAGGUCUGGAUUAGGUUUAUGGACUUGUUGGUAUGAUUGGACGGGGUCCCAGAAGCUCGAGUGAGCUUAGAAUCACCUGGAGAAUUUUUGAAGUUGGCAGAUUUUGUAGGUGCUAGUGUGCUUCACAAUCGCAAAGGGUGUUCCGCGAUUGAGAGGGAGGAUUUUUGGAGGAGAAGUUGAUCGCUCUUCGCGAAUGCGAAGAAGGCUCCACGAACGCGAAGAAGGCUCUGCGAAUGUAAAGAAGGCUCCACGAAUGCGAGGGAGGACCUGGCUCUCCUAUGCAAAAUGGGAGGUCCAAGAACGAACGGGAAGGAGGAAGAGGGCGGAUGUUCUUGGCAGGCGUUAAGCCUUCGCAAAUGCGGCUCUGGGACCGCAAACGCGAAGGGCAGAGGUCAAGAGGAAUCACAAAUGCGACCUGGCUAUCGCGAACAUGAAGAUAAUUUUUGGGCAGCUGGAGUUUUGGCCUUUGCGAUCGUGAAGAGACUUCCGCGAUCACAUAGAGGAAGGACCCAGGCAGAAUGCAUUAUUAAUACGGGAAUUAGGCUGAUUUUCCCCAUUUUUCAUUUGGCUUGGACGAUAUUGGAGCUCUUUGGAGGGGUAUUUUUAUCAAGCAUCAUAAGGUAAGUGAUUUCAACCAGUUAUCAGUUAAAUACAUGAAUUAUUGGUAGAUUUUAACAUAGAAAUUUAUGGAAUUUUGGGAUUUUAUUGAAGAACCAAGGGUUUAGUAAAAAUAGAAUUUGACCACGAAAUUGAUUAUGGAAUUGAGCACAAGUUAUAUAUUUGAGUUUAUAAUGCCAUAGAUAACAUUUAUCUUCAAAACAUUUCGAAAUCCGGGCACGUGGGCCCAAUGUUGACUUUGUGGAAUUUCUAGUUGGGUUGGAAAAUUACUCUAAUAGUUAAAUUAUGAACUUUUGAGCAUAAAAUUAUUAAUUUAUACGUCCUUUGAUUAGUUUUGGGUUGCUCAGCAUUGUUUUGAGGCGACUAGUGAGGUUUGAGAGCCAAGUAGAGGGCUUGGAAGCGAGGUAAGUGUCUUGCCUAAUCUUGUAAGAGGGAAAUUAUUCCGUAGGUUUUCUGAUUGUUGUGUGCUACUUGUUAUGGGUGCUACGUAUGUAUGACAUGACGAGAGUUCGUGCGUAAUUAGAAUUAUAUUUAUGUCAGGAUAGACAUAAAACUUUACCAUGCCUUAUUUGUACUACUUGAACAAAAUUUGUUAGUUUAGUUACUUAAAUUUAUAAUUGAGAUUGGAUUAGAAUUUAUGUUAGACCGGCCUCUUUACCUUGAGUUUUGGCGGAAUACUUGAUUGUCGGUAAAAACAAUCAUGUCUUCCUUAUAUUCCUAUCCUUGUGUUGUGUUUAUGUGACCCGUAGUUCGGAAAGUUUCUUUAUUCCUAUGGAUCGGGCCGUACGCCUCGGCAGUGCUAUGAAAUAGCAUUAUGGAUCAGGACGUACGACCUCGACAAUAUAUUUGAGAUGCAUCUAUGGAUCGGGCCGUAGGACCUCAGCAGUGUACACUAUUAUAAUGGAUCGGGCUGCAUGACCUCGGCAGAGUUCGUGUAUAAUAAUCGAUAAAAGUCAGAAUUCACAUGAGAUUUCCUUCUUGACUUGAGACUUGAUAUCUACUUGAUUUUCUUGUUCGUUUAAGAUAGCAUAUAGUACUUGAGGAUUUCAUAUUAUUACUACGUUGGAGGAUCACGUUAGUUACAGUACUUAUUUCAUCGCUACAUGUUGUAUUUCAUGCCUGUCUAUUUUCAUGUACUUUAAUUAUUGGACCACUAAUAGUGUCAUUGUCGACCCUUCGUUACUAAUAUUUCGAGGUUAGAAAAUAUACUUACUAACACACAUUAAUUUACGUACUCAUACUACACUUCUACACCAAUUGUGCAGGUACUGAGACAGGUACUUCAGGCGGUCAUUCGGGCGGGCUAUGCACUAGCCGGAGACUUAGUGGUGAGAUGCUCUCCAUGUCCUGAUCUGUAUAACCCAGAGUCUCCUUCUUGUUAUAUUUAUCAUUUCUGUCUAUUUUAUUUCAGACAAUAGCUAUAAUGGUUUGUAUAUUUUACUAGAUUGCUCGUGCACUUGUGACACCGGGUUUUGGGAAUUUUAGUAGAUGAUUAUGGUUGUACCGAAUAUUAUCAUCAUUUUGCUUUAUGUUUCAUUCUUGCUUUAUGGCUUAGUAAGAACAUAAGUAUGUAUCCAUGGUUUCUACACCUAAUUUCAUUUACUUAAUAAAAAC